rnacentral:rRNA from 1 species
GGCCUAUACAUGCAAGUCGAACGCACUCUCGUUUAGAUUGAAGGAGCUUGCUCCUGAUUGAUAAACAUUUGAGUGAGUGGCGGACGGGUGAGUAACACGUGGGUAACCUGCCCUAAAGUGGGGGAUAACAUUUGGAAACAGAUGCUAAUACCGCAUAAAACCUAACACCGCAUGGUGUAGGGUUGAAAGAUGGUUUCGGCUAUCACUUUAGGAUGGACCCGCGGUGCAUUAGUUAGUUGGUGAGGUAAAGGCUCACCAAGACCGUGAUGCAUAGCCGACCUGAGAGGGUAAUCGGCCACACUGGGACUGAGACACGGCCCAGACUCCUACGGGAGGCAGCAGUAGGGAAUCUUCCACAAUGGACGAAAGUCUGAUGGAGCAACGCCGCGUGAGUGAAGAAGGUUUUCGGAUCGUAAAACUCUGUUGUUGGAGAAGAAUGUAUCUGAUAGUAACUGAUCAGGUAGUGACGGUAUCCAACCAGAAAGCCACGGCUAACUACGUGCCAGCAGCCGCGGUAAUACGUAGGUGGCAAGCGUUGUCCGGAUUUAUUGGGCGUAAAGCGAGCGCAGGCGGUUUCUUAAGUCUGAUGUGAAAGCCUUCGGCUCAACCGAAGAAGUGCAUCGGAAACUGGGAAACUUGAGUGCAGAAGAGGACAGUGGAACUCCAUGUGUAGCGGUGAAAUGCGUAGAUAUAUGGAAGAACACCAGUGGCGAAGGCGGCUGUCUGGUCUGUAACUGACGCUGAGGCUCGAAAGCAUGGGUAGCAAACAGGAUUAGAUACCCUGGUAGUCCAUGCCGUAAACGAUGAGUGCUAGGUGUUGGAAGGGUUUCCGCCCUUCAGUGCCGCAGCUAACGCAUUAAGCACUCCGCCUGGGGAGUACGACCGCAAGGUUGAAACUCAAAGGAAUUGACGGGGGCCCGCACAAGCGGUGGAGCAUGUGGUUUAAUUCGAAGCAACGCGAAGAACCUUACCAGGUCUUGACAUCCUUUGACCACUCUAGAGAUAGAGCUUUCCCUUCGGGGACAAAGUGACAGGUGGUGCAUGGUUGUCGUCAGCCCGGGCCGGGAAAUGUUGGGUUAAGUCCCGCACCGAGGCAACCCUUAUUACUAGUUGCCAGCAUUUAGUUGGGCACUUUAUGGAAAUGCCGGGAAAAACCGGAGGAAGGGGGGGGCC